rnacentral:rRNA from 1 species
GAUGAACGCUAGCGGCAGGCUUAACACAUGCAAGUCGAGGGGUAGUCUAGCAAUAGAUGAGACCGGCGCACGGGUGCGUAACGCGUAUGCAACCUACCUUUUACAGAGGGAUAGCCCAGAGAAAUUUGGAUUAAUACCUCAUAGUAUAUGUCUUUCGCAUGUUAGACAUAUUAAAGUUCAACGGUAAAAGAUGGGCAUGCGUCCUAUUAGCUAGAUGGUAAGGUAACGGCUUACCAUGGCAACGAUAGGUAGGGGUCCUGAGAGGGAGAUCCCCCACACUGGUACUGGGACACGGACCGGACUCCUACGGGAGGCAGCAGUGAGGAAUAUUGGACAAUGGGCGCAAGCCUGAUCCAGCCAUGCCGCGUGCAGGAAGACGGUCCUAUGGAUUGUAAACUGCUUUUGUACGGGAAGAAACACUCCCUCGUGAGGGAGCUUGACGGUACCGUAAGAAUAAGGAUCGGCUAACUCCGUGCCAGCAGCCGCCGUAACAC